GGACCUACGGGGGGCAGCAGCCGCGGUAAUACGUAGGGUGCAAGCGUUAUCCGGAUUUAUUGGGCGUAAAGGGCUCGUAGGCGGUUCGUCGCGUCCGGUGUGAAAGUCCAUCGCUUAACGGUGGAUCCGCGCCGGGUACGGGCGGGCUUGAGUGCGGUAGGGGAGACUGGAGUUCCCGGUGUAACGGUGGGAUGUGUAGAUAUCGGGAAGAACACCAAUGGCGAAGGCAGGUCUCUGGGCCGUUACUGACGCUGAGGUGCGAAAGCGUGGGGAGCGAAACGGAUUAGAAACACUGGUAGGCCAGA
rnacentral:rRNA from 1 species